rnacentral:rRNA from 1 species
GCUCAUGGACGAAAGCCAGGGGAGCGAAAGGGAUUAGAUACCCCUGUAGUCCUGGCCGUAAACGAUGAACACUAGGUGUCGGGGGAAUCGACCCCUUCGGUGUCGUAGCUAACGCGUUAAGUGUUCCGCCUGGGGAGUACGCACGCAAGUGUGAAACUCAAAGGAAUUGACGGGGGCCCGCACAAGCGGUGGAGUAUGUGGUUUAAUUCGAUGCAACGCGAAGAACCUUACCAGGGUUUGACAUCCUGCGAACCUCUUAGAAAUUUGAGGGUGCCUUCGGGAAUGCAGUGACAGGUGGUGCAUGGCUGUCGUCAGCUCGUGUCGUGAGAUGUUGGGUUAAGUCCCGCAACGAGCGCAACCCACGUUUUUAGUUGCCAGCAUUUAGUUGGGCACUCUAGAAAGACCGCCGGUGAUAAACCGGAGGAAGGUGUGGAUGACGUCAAGUCAUCAUGCCCCUUACACCCUGGGCUACACACGUACUACAAUGCUACGGACAAAGGGCAGCAAACUCGCGAGAGCUAGCAAAUCCCAUAAACCGUGGCUCAGUUCAGAUCGUAGGCUGCAACUCGCCUACGUGAAGUAGGAAUCGCUAGUAAUCGCAGGUCAGCAUACUGCGGUGAAUACGUUCCCGGGCCUUGUACACACCGCCCGUCACACCAUGGAAGUUGGCCAUGCCCGAAGUCGUUACUCCAACCCUUGUGGAGGAGGACGCCGAAGGUGGGGCUAAUGACUGGGGUGAAGUCGUAACAAGGUAGCCGUACCGGAAGGUGCGGCUG